rnacentral:misc_RNA from 1 species
AAGUCGUAACAAGGUCUCCGUAGGUGAACCUGCGGAGGGAUCAUUAACACGUAUCCAACACGUUAUAAACCCAAAACGGUCUCUUUUGUUCCCAUAGAGAAUAGGGGUCUAGUAAGCCAUAGAUGGAUUGCGUUUGGUCAGUCAAAACACUGUUUUGUUUGGUCAAAACUCUACUUACAGACUAUCGAACCUUUGAGUUUCACCCUAUUUUUUAUGGCGUAAAUCCAAGCCAUCUGGUUAUUAGUGCCAAACCGGUUCCGACCCGGAGCCUAAUAACCUUACUAAUCCUUUAUUUUUUACCCCUUUAUUUUUAAUAAAAUACUCUGACUUAACUACCAUAUAAACCUAUCAGGAUUAUAUUGUGUUAUACGAAACGCGAACAACUCUUAGCAACGGAUAUCUUGGUUCUC